AAAGAGUUCAGCUGUAAGCUGGACAUUACUGUCUGCUUUAAGUGUAUAAACAUGCUUCACUAGAAUGACCCUCAUUUCCUAUGUAGUGACAGUGCACAGAGACCAGACGCUGCUUCAAUUUGGAUUUAAUGAGAACAGUGCUGGAAGAGCUACACCAUAUUUAUUACCAAAGCCUUGUUUGGCUGCUCUUUAUGCACAGCAGAGCUAAUAUAGCAAUGAGGAAGCUCAGAGCAGUUUGAAGAUAUUUCAAAUGUGCUUCACCAAUAGCUUUUCUUUGUAUAAUUGGAGAAAUAAACUAAAUAAAAACUGGUUAUGGGCAAAUCAAGUGAGUGAUCAUGUAUAAGUUGUAUAGUUUUAAUGUUUUAUUUUGGAAUAGAAUGGUGUGUAUGUGUGAGUUUGGUGAUGGAGUUUUUAUUAUGAAUGAAUUAUGAAUUUUUUAUGAAUUAUUAUGUCUAUUUUUUUUUUAUUCUUAUGUUUUAUGGACAACAGAUGGAAAUUAGCCCUUGGCUAUAAUCUGGUAUGUUUACAUUCAUGUAAUUUUUUUACAUUUAUGUUCAUUAACAUGCACUGUCCUAAAUAAAUAAAUUAAUUUUUUAUUUUUUUUUUUUUGUGUCCCGUUUGGAUCUUUAGCCAUCAGAAUUGUUGUCUUAAGGCCAAGAAAGAUACUAAGCGGAUUUAUUUUACCAAGUGGAUCAUCAUGGCCUUGCCAUAUUGGUUCAUUUGAUUGACCUUUAUUAUAAUUAUGAAUUUAUUUUAUUUUCAGUUGCUACAAACGGGACAGACAUGACUGGGGGAUAGGACAGGGAGAAAGAAUGAAAGAAAGAGAGGGAGAGAAAGAAAACCAAAGGGGAGAAGAGACGGUGAGAAGGGGGGAAGAAAGAAAAACAAACAAAAAAACAAAACAAAAAAAAAACAAAAAACACCUGGGUCACCAGUAUGGAGAAAAAAAACAGAAGAGAAAGCAAACAACAAAGAGCAAGAUAAUAAAAAAAAACGGCACCAUCACAAUAAACUAGCUAGCAGUAGAUAUCAGUAGAUACUAAAUAAUAAACGAUAUUGUGCAGCACGCAAGAUAGACAGCGCACAAUGUGCUUUGAGGCAGCAGCCAAGAAAGCUGUAGUCUGCGUCUGUGAAUACCCGUGUGUACACCUGUGUGCAUACCUGUGUGGAUCAGCAUGCUUGCAUUCCAAAGGUUUCUCCAUGUAACGAUCUGCUAGGGAGUGUGGGGGGGCCACAGCCCCGUCCUCCAGGGUAUGAAGCAGGUAUGGAGGAGAUCAAAACUCCAGACAUCCAGAGGCCCCCAGAACACAAGAGAC
ensembl:lncRNA